ensembl:lncRNA NIFK-AS1 NIFK antisense RNA 1
AGAGAAGGCUUUGGAGACCCUUGAGUCGGCCAGCGAGCAGGGUUUCUUACUUGAGCGCCUCCACAAAUAAACGCUCCUUCGCUCCUCCGUCGCGUGCGUUUCCCUGGGAUAAUAAGUGGGAAAGUGGUGGCUUUUAUUUUUUUGAGACAGGGUCUCACCGCCGUCGCCCAGGCCGGAUGGAGUGCAGUGGCGCGAUCACGGCUCACUGCAGCCUCGACUUCCCAGGCUCAGAGAUGGGUUUCACCAUGUUUCCCAGCCUUGUCUCAAACUCCUGACCUCAAGUGAUCCGCCGUCUUGGGUCUUCGAAAGUGCUGGGACAGCAGGAGUGAGCCACCGCAUCUGGCCCGGAAAGUGUUUUGGAGCGUAGAAAAAUGCAAAUUAUAGGGCUGCCUUCAAGGAUCCCGAAGGACCCACAGAUUUGCCGCAUCAGGCUCCUAUGCACGCCGAAAUGCCCAGGAGGAUUGACGAGAUUGAGGUCAAGAUCGUGGCCCAGUGUGUGGCGCUCCAAGCCAGCUCUUCCCCUUUCAAAACCAGAAAAGCCGCAUGUUUAGAUCGCUCUAGGAGAUUCAUCUCCAUUACGAUACAGGUGGGUAAUGAGUUUCCCUCAUAAACUUUUUUUUUCUUUUCUUUUUUAUUUAAUUUUCACAUCAGAUAUGUAAUGUGCCAAGGUAGUAACAAGGUUUGAGGGAGGCACAUCUCACACGAAUGUGAAAACUCAAAAGAUCUAAACUAAGUUUUGAAACAAAUCCACAAGUGGGUUUUUCCUCCACAGGGUAAGAUUUUCUCCACAUGUUUUGACUUGGGUGCAUGGGCGUUGCCUUCCCUGCCUGUGGCCUUCAAAAGACCAUGGGUGCGAAGUCCAAGCUUUGACUCUUCUGCCUAUGAUUCUCUGUCAAAUGAGAGGCCAAAAUUAAAACCACAAUGAGGUAUCACUAAACACCCACUAGAGUGGCUAAAAUUGAAAAUUCUGACUAUACAAAAUAUUGGCAAGGAUGUAGAGCGACUGGGACUCCCAUACAUUGCUGUUGGAAAUAGUUUGGCAGGUUCCUAUAAAGUUAGAAUAAAUUUAUCAUAUAACCCAGAGAUCCAACUUGUACGUAUUUAUCCAAGAGAAAUAAAAA